rnacentral:rRNA from 1 species
CCUACGGGGCGCUGCAGUGGGGAAUAUUGGACAAUGGGGGCAACCCUGAUCCAGCCAUGCCGCGUGUGUGAAGAAGGCCCUCGGGUUGUAAAGCACUUUCAGUGAGGAAGAACGCCUGGUGGUUAAUACCCAUCAGGAAAGACAUCACUCACAGAAGAAGCACCGGCUAACUCCGUGCCAGCAGCCGCGGUAAUACGGAGGGUGCGAGCGUUAAUCGGAAUUACUGGGCGUAAAGCGCGCGUAGGUGGCUUGAUAAGCCGGUUGUGAAAGCCCCGGGCUCAACCUGGGAACGGCAUCCGGAACUGUCAAGCUAGAGUGCAGGAGAGGAAGGUAGAAUUCCCGGUGUAGCGGUGAAAUGCGUAGAGAUCGGGAGGAAUACCAGUGGCGAAGGCGGCCUUCUGGACUGACACUGACACUGAGGUGCGAAAGCGUGGGUAGCAAACAGGAUUAGAUACCCUAGUAGUC